rnacentral:rRNA from 1 species
UGGACCGCAACUGACGUUGAGGCGCGAAAGCUAGGGGAGCAAACGGGAUUAGAUACCCCCCGGUAGUCCUAGCCCGUAAACGAUGGGCACUAGGUGUAGGAGGUAUUGACCCCCUUCUGUGCCGCAGCUAACCGCAUUAAGUGCCCCGCCUGGGGAGUACGGUCGCAAGACUAAAACUCCAAAGGAAUUGACGGGGGCCCGCACAAGCGGUGGAGCAUGUGGUUUAAUUCGACGCAACGCGAAGAACCUUACCUGGGUUUGACAUCCCCGCGGCGGUAACAGAAAUGUUGCUUUCCCUUCGGGGACGCGGUGACAGGUGCUGCAUGGCUGUCGUCAGCUCGUGUCAUGAGAUGUUGGGUUAAGUCCCGCAACGAGCGCAACCCAUGCCCUUAGUUGCCAGCGAGUAAAGUCGGGAACUCUAAGGGAACCGCCGGUGAUAAACCGGAGGAAGGUGUGGAUGACGUCAAGUCCCUCCAUGGCCUUUAUGCCCAGGGCUACACACGUGCUACAAUGGCCGGUACAAAGGGCUGCAAUUCCGCGAGGAGG